rfam:Triticum aestivum genome assembly, contig: Triticum_aestivum_CS42_TGACv1_scaffold_592584_7BS
UUGAUACUCCCUCCGUCUGAAAAUACUUGUCAUUAAAAAGAAUAAAAAAUACUUGUCAUCAAAAAGAAUAAAAGAGGAUGUAUUUAGAUGUAUUUUAGUUCUAGAUACAUCCUUUUUCAUCCAUUUUGAUGAUAAGUAUUUUCGGACGGAGGGAGUAUCUC